rnacentral:rRNA from 1 species
GUCCACGCCGUAAACGAUGGAUACUAGCUGUUAGAAGUAUCGACCCUUCUAGUAGCGAAGCUAACGCGUUAAGUAUCCCGCCUGUGGAGUACGGUCGCAAGACUAAAACAUAAAGGAAUUGACGGGACCCGCACAAGCGGUGGAGCGUGUUGUUUAAUUCGAUGCUAAGCGAAGAACCUUACCCAGGUUUGACAUCCUAGGAAUUUUUACGAAAGUAAAGAGUGCCUUUUGGAACCUAGUGACAGGUGUUGCAUGGCCGUCGU